UCCCCUUUUGCACCGCUGCUCCCUUCGGGCUGAUAGGGAACAUACUUAUUCUUGGAAUAUUGUCAACGUCAGUAGGUCACCUGACCUCCGUAGUGAUUUGAAGUGCUAGGCCCAGACAGGAUUCAUUCGCCAUCGUCGGCGUCAAGACGUCCUCGUGUGAAAGACAACGCUUUUGUGUGUGUGUGUGUUUCUCCACAUAGAAAACUACAACAGUGAAACGUGUCCAGGUAGGGGAGUUAGAGUACGCUGACAAGCAAGAAGAAUGUUUGAUGAAUAUUUCUGACGACAAGACUGCGCUCCAGGAUGAAAUGGACGUUUUAAUAGAAGAAUGCAACAGGAAUUUGCUUGCGAGAAGGCGUUUGUAUGUGUGUUGUGUCGUGCGUUCUGUGUUCCAUGCCAUGUCGUCCAUCGAUAGGAACCAACUCGAUCGCAUCAGCGCUCUCUUGGAUUACCACAAGACAAGCCCUCUCCUUCCAAAACGAAGUCACUCAGGCACACAGCGUAGGACGGGAGGAAUGGAAGGCGUCGCCCCCGGCUCUACUGAAAUCUAUUGGG